rnacentral:rRNA from 1 species
UGGGGAAUAUUGCACAAUGGGCGAAAGCCUGAUGCAGCAACGCCGCGUGAGCGAAGAAGGCCUUCGGGUCGUAAAGCUCUGUCCUCAAGGAAGAUAAUGACGGUACUUGAGGAGGAAGCCCCGGCUAACUACGUGCCAGCAGCCGCGGUAAUACGUAGGGGGCAAGCGUUAUCCGGAUUUACUGGGCGUAAAGGGUGCGUAGGCGGCCUUACAAGUCAGGAGUGAAAGGCUACGGCUCAACCGUAGUAAGCUCUUGAAACUGUUAGACUUGAGUGCAGGAGAGGAGAGUGGAAUUCCUAGUGUAGCGGUGAAAUGCGUAGAUAUUAGGAGGAACACCGGUUGCGAAGGCGGCUCUCUGGACUGUAACUGACGCUGAGGCACGAAAGCGUGGGGAGCAAACA